rnacentral:rRNA from 1 species
GCUUAACACAUGCAAGUCGAGCGCCCUGCUUGCAGGGAGCGGCAGACGGGUGAGUAACGCGUGGGAACAUACCUUUCGGUUCGGAAUAGCCCCGGGAAACUGGGUGUAAUACCGAAUACGUCCUUAGGGAGAAAGAUUUAUCGCCGAAAGAUUGGCCCGCGUUAGAUUAGAUAGUUGGUGAGGUAACGGCUCACCAAGUCGACGAUCUAUAGCUGGUUUGAGAGGAUGAUCAGCCACACUGG